rnacentral:lncRNA from 9 species
GAUGCUGUGUGACCCGCCGUCACCUCGGGGAAGCCGGGGAAACGGGAGGGCCACUCCUUCUCACGCCUCGCUUCCCGCGGUGUGUUUCUACAGACUCGGUGGCGGAGCGCACCGACUGCCGCCAGGAUGAGGAGGCUGCAGGAACUCACGACGACGAUGUUGUGGAGGCCGGUGGGAGUGAGAAGACUGAGGCAAAGCCCCGGGCUGGGGGACAUGAGGACGAGGCGGCCCCAGUACCUGAGGUGGAGGUGGAGGAGGAGGCGGGCCAGCCCCGUGAAAAUGGCCAGGAGGAGUCCUUAGCCAUCGCCUGGGCUGAGCCGGAAGACGAGCCUGGCCCCAAGGUGGACGGGGCGGACGAUGAAAUCUGUGAGUAUUCUGGAGCCCGGCUCUGCUGAGGAGAAGUCCAGGUGUUGAGGAAAUGGGGG